UUUUCGGAUGGAUUUAAAACAGCUUAGUGGCGGACGGGUGAGUAACGCGUGAGCAACCUGCCUUUAUCAGGGGGAUAACGCAUCGAAAGAUGUGCUAAUACCGCGUAAGACCACAGCUUCACAUGGAGCAGGGGUCAAAGGAGCAAUCCGGAUAAAGAUGGGCUCGCGUCCGAUUAGCUAGUUGGUGAGAUAACAGCCCACCAAGGCGACGAUCGGUAGCCGACCUGAGAGGGUGAUCGGCCACAUUGGAACUGAGAAACGGUCCAGACUCC
rnacentral:rRNA from 1 species